rnacentral:rRNA from 1 species
CUACGGGCGGCUGCAGUGAGGAAUAUUGCACAAUGGGGGGAACCCUGAUGCAGCAACGCCGCGUGGAGGAUGACGCAUUUCGGUGUGUAAACUCCUUUUAUAUGUCAAGAAAAUGACGGUAGCAUAUGAAUAAGCACCGGCUAACUCCGUGCCAGCAGCCGCGGUAAUACGGAGGGUGCAAGCGUUACUCGGAAUCACUGGGCGUAACGGACGCGUAGGCGGGUUGGAAAGUCAGGUGUGAAAUCCUACAGCUUAACUGUAGAACUGCACUUGAAACUUCUAAUCUAGAGUAUGGGAGGGGGAGAUAGAAUUAGUGGUGUAGGGGUAAAAUCCGUAGAUAUCACUAGGAAUACCUAAAGCGAAGGCGAUCUCCUGGAACAUUACUGACGCUAAGGCGUGAAAGCGUGGGGAGCAGACAGGAUUAGAUACCCUGGUAGUC